UUCAUCAAAGAACACUUACUGAAGAGAUACAGUCGUGGUCGCUUAGUGGCUCCGGAACGUGUAAAAAGGGAGCAUUGCGACGCACUAAGGGUACCUUCGCCAUCCUCCAUGAAAAAAGCUACGUGCAAGGCUCACGGAAUAUCGGAUGAUUCAACCCCGCACUCUCGGCCGUACCUUAUUUUAGCGAGCUGCGGAAUAUUUACGAAUUCCUUGAGAGCUACUCGCCAGUCACGGCAACUUCCUAGAUAAAGCGAAGAGCUUCGAGAGCGAGAUAUGAUUGAAACCACUGCCAGCCAGGGAUCGAGUUUCUCAGCGAGAAAUCUCAGGUACGCGCGAGGAGGAUGCCGGAAAGCCGCUGAAGCUUCUCUCGAGAAUUUCUUGGCGUGGAUGGACCCCUCGUCGAUAAAAAAUGUCUGCUAAUUUAUAUUCAAGACUUGAAAAUUAUUGCUUCACCACGACGCUAUGUACUGAAGAUACGCGCGAGGAGGAUGCCGGAAAGCCGCGGAAGCUUCUCCCGAGAAUUUCUGGGCGUGGAUGGACCCGUCGUCGGUGUGGCGAGUCACCGCUGUACUUAAAGCCGUCAACGUGGGGCUCUUACAUUAACGCAAUUACUCCGAUGUCGUGGCACGGCGACGAGCACCGGACAAAAUGCGGGCUAGGGAGGGAUCGUAAAUUUCUCGCAGGAGAGCUUUCUCGCCGGCGCAGCCCGAUUUAAGUCGCGCGUCUCGGAAAGGGCGUCGUGACAUCAUGGGGCAGCGACGCAAGCUUUAAUAUAAAAAUAAGCGGUCUCCAUGGCCCGAUCGGGCGGGGCGAGGAAGACAUGGGACGCGAGAUCAUCCUCAAUGGCGACAAUGGAAUUCGCCCUCUGAGGAAUUCCACGGAGGAUUACCAUCGGCGAGGAAGAUUUAUUGGACGAGGACCACGAGAGCAAAGAGAAGGCGAGGUAGCGAGCGGAACGGCCCGACUUCCGUCUAAGACUUUGUAGAUUCGGCGCCAUCUUCCCGCGAGGCGCGAGAUUCUGGCCGCAGUCGUUGGCACGAAUCUUCGCGUAAUUACAGCCUCGAGAGGCGAAACCGUAACGCGAAUAGUUACACGCUCGAUCCCUGCCCUCAUCAUGCGCAUUAACCUAACAAAUACCUCCUGCGACUGUAUUAUAUAUUUUCUAUUUAGCCUCCUUACGAGCGGACGAUUGUUUACUCGAGUCUCCUUAAUAUUGCCUGCACUGUUCGCCACUGUGCGCAAUUAUUUCGGCGAGACAAUGGUGUUAAAUUUAUCCCAAUCUAGAAGACCAGAAUUUAAACAAUUCCUGUACCUUAGGAAGUCAUUACUAGACGCCUGAAAUUCCAUCGUUAACCUUGUGAGAAUACUUAAAUUUAUACUUUCACGUCCAUGCAAAAAGAGCGCAGGAGGCAUAUCGUCAUAGAGUUGUGAGAAAUUAUACGGGAGGAAUUACUGUCCGUAUGAACGCGAUGGAGCGGUCGUCGGUGUUAACUUAAGUGUUGGGACUGUGUGGAUCACGGUAUGAACGAGGCUCGAGCAUUUCGUUUGUUUGCGAUUCGCUGUAAUUCCGGUGGGUUAUUCCUUCAGAUUCCAUAAGAGUCCCGCGGCCCCACGGAUCAAAAUUCGCCGUUCAAUGUCGAGAUGGAACCUGACGAUCCAAUAAGGAAAUGUUCGACAUUCUGGCCCUCCUCAGCUGCGCAUACGCGGCCUGCCUUUGGUGCGGAGUCCUCGGCGCAUGCUACCCGAAUUUCCACUCGAAGCUGAACGCCCUGAAGAGAAGCCACGCGUGUCCGAAGUGCGACCCCUCCCGGCACUUCGUUAUUCGUUCUCGACCACGAGACAUCAUAGAAGCGGAAGAAAAGGAAGAAGAAGACGUAAAGAAAUCCCAGGUCCUUCCAGCUGACGACUCCCAGACUCGCAGAAGAGCGACCCCGAUGGAGCCUGAGGGAUAUCCGAGAGAAGCUGGACAGGGUCGCCCGGUGGGCAGGACGAUGUCGGUGGAUGCCAGCACUCAGGAUUAAAAAGCGAAGUUGGCCGGGAGAACGUGCCAAGCUCGGCGGCAUAUAGGAAAGACCACCUCGAGCUCGAAGCACGUAAUGGCAUCAUUCACGCAGUAGCACUUACGAGGGUCCACCUGGAGAUGGAGAUCGUCACGCGUCUCGGAGAACAACAGUCAUCCGGGCAAACCUGACGGAUGGACUUUCUUCGGGUGGCCCGAUCGGCACUCGGCCAGUUCGGGAUGUAGUCUCAUAUGGAGGUCUGGGAACGACGGGAGGAAUUCCUCCCGCGAGGGAGACAUCGGCAGACCUCGUUGAGGCGAUUCCUAGCGAGAAGAAGGCCCGUCGUUCCCCGAAAUGCGAUCCAGGUCGGACCCACCGGGAACGACGCGCGAGCUCGCGCCGUUCGGCGACACACCAUGGCUGUCCAUAAUUUUAGAACGCGUAAAUCCCGCCUUUGACUUCGAUUUUACGAUCGACCGGCCCUCUAGGUGGAGGUGCGUCGGGGGCGUCGGGAGCGAGAAAGAGUCCGAGCCAAUUUCGAAGUGCAGCGAGCCGAGCACAAAGGUUCCACGGGUACGCUAACCGACGCCAGACGCCGGGGCAUUAUUCUCUUUGUUCCAAUUAUUAAGACGCCAAGCCUGCUCGAAGAUGGCCCCUUUAUGAAAUAUUGCGGCUCGGUGCAUCUCGCGUGCCCGGGACCGACCGGACGGUCCCAUCGAUCCUCUUCAGAGGCCACUCGGAAUCCCCAGAAUCGGAUUUAUGCUUGGAACAAUGAGACGCCAGAACUCUCCCAGACGCGGACCUAACGGCGCCUUGCUCGUUACUCGCGUCGGUCUAAUGCCAUUUCCUGACACCUUGAAGAAUGAAAGUUACGCCAGAAUGUUAGUACCGUACGAAUGGCUCUACGACGUUGGGCCAACGAGAGUGUGAUCUCUGGGAGCGAAUCCAAAGACAAACGACGUCGUGCUCGACGGUUGUUUCGGUUCGCGGGCUGGCCGCGAUAGUUCGGAUACUGGAACCGGGGCAAUCAUCCAAUACAAAAGGAACUGGCGUAUUAUAUUUAGACAAGUGCAACGCGAGCACUGGAAACUGACUAUGCACACAGCAAACCAUAGUCAUCGUCCUCCUCGUUUGGUUUUGUCGAACUGAUGCGAAAGCUGGAACUUCCUUAGACCACGUGCAUACGUCAGACCUAUUGUAUCAUGUUCUAGUCCUGUCCCUGUGAUAAAAUUUCCGAUGACCACGAGUCCAGGCUUUCGCUACUGACCAUAAUUACCUGCGUUAUAUCUUACUUUAAUCGCAUUUAAGUAACGUGCUCCCACGUCCACUGUUAUUUACUUCUAAAGUGGGAAUGACGUCCUAUGCCCGCAGACUGAUUAUGUAGUAUCCGAAAUAUGAUUUUGCGAUGGCCAUUUGGCAGUUAAUCUCCAUCGUAUGAAAUUCCCAUUUUAUUCUAAAUGCAUUUAAAUUCGUAUUCUUA
rnacentral:lncRNA from 1 species